rnacentral:rRNA from 1 species
CAGUGGGGAAUAUUGCACAAUGGGCGAAAGCCUGAUGCAGCGACGCCGCGUGAGGGAUGACGGCCUUCGGGUUGUAAACCUCUUUCAGUAGGGAAGAAGCGAAAGUGACGGUACCUGCAGAAGAAGCGCCGGCUAACUACGUGCCAGCAGCCGCGGUAAUACGUAGGGCGCAAGCGUUAUCCGGAAUUAUUGGGCGUAAAGAGCUCGUAGGCGGUUUGUCGCGUCUGCUGUGAAAGGCCAGGGCUCAACCCUGGUUCUGCAGUGGGUACGGGCAGACUUGAGUGAUGUAGGGGAGACUGGAAUUCCUGGUGUAGCGGUGAAAUGCGCAGAUAUCAGGAGGAACACCGAUGGCGAAGGCAGGUCUCUGGGCAUUAACUGACGCUGAGGAGCGAAAGCAUGGGGAGCGAACAGGAUUAGAUACCCUGGUAGUCCAUGCCGUAAACGUUGGGCACUAGGUGUGGGGGACAUUCCACGUUUUCCGCGCCGUAGCUAACGCAUUAAGUGCCCCGCCUGGGGAGUACGGCCGCAAGGCUAAAACUCAAAGGAAUUGACGGGGGCCCGCACAAGCGGCGGAGCAUGCGGAUUAAUUCGAUGCAACGCGAAGAACCUUACCAAGGCUUGACAUGGAUCAGAUCGCAUCAGAGAUGGUGUUUC